CCUACGGGAGGCAGCAGUGAGGAAUAUUGGUCAAUGGCCGUAAGGCUGAACCAGCCAAGUAGCGUGAAGGAAGACGGAUCUAUGGUUUGUAAACUUCUUUUAUAGGGGAAUAAAGGUAUCCACGUGUGGAUAUUUGCAUGUACCCUAUGAAUAAGCAUCGGCUAACUCCGUGCCAGCAGCCGCGGUAAUACGGAGGAUGCGAGCGUUAUCCGGAUUUAUUGGGUUUAAAGGGUGCGUAGGUUGUUUGUUAAGUCAGCUGUGAAAGUUUGUGGCUCAACCAUAAAAUUGCCGUUGAAACUGGAAGUCUUGAGUGUGGUUGAGGUAGGCGGAAUGCGUGGUGUAGCGGUGAAAUGCAUAGAUAUCACGCAGAACUCCGAUUGCGAAGGCAGUUUACUAAGCCAUAACUGACACUGAAGCACGAAAGCGUGGGGAUCAAACAGGAUUAGAUACCCUUGUAGUC
rnacentral:rRNA from 1 species